GUCUACGGCCAUACCAACCUGAACACACCUGAUCUCGUUUGAUCUCAGAAGCUAAGCAGGGUCAGGCCUAGUUAGUACUUGGAUGGGAGAAAGUUAUUGACAACCAAGGAUCUGAAUGUC
rnacentral:rRNA from 1 species